AUGAACUCCCUGAUGUUCAAGCUCGUUUUAGAAAAGGCAGGGGAACCAGAGAUCAUAUUGCCAACAUCAGCUGGAUCAUGGAAAAAGCAAGAGUUCCAGAAAAACAUCUAUUUCUGCUUUAUUGACUAUGCCAAAACCUUUGACUGUGUGGAUCACAAGAAACUGUGGAAAAUUCUGAAAGAGAUGGGAAUACCAGACCACCUAACCUGCCCCUUGAGAAAUCUGUAUGCAGUUCAGGAAGCAACAAUUAGAACUGGACAUGGAACAACUGACUGGUUCCAAAUAGGAAAAGGAGUACGUCAAGGCUGUAUGUUGUCACCCUGCUUAUCUAACUUCUAUGCAGAGUGCAUCAUGAGAAAUGCUGGACUGGAAGAAACACAAGCUGGAAUCAAGAUUGCCAGGAGAAAUAUCAAUAACCUCAGAUAUGCAGAUGACACCACCCUUAUGACAGAAAGUGAAGAGGAGCUAAAAAGCCUCUUGAUGAAAGUGAAAGAGGAGAGUGAAAAAGUUGGCUUAAAGCUCAACAUUCAGAAAACAAAGAUCAUGGCAUCCAGUCCCAUCACUUCAUGGGAAAUAGAUGGGGAAACAGUGGAAACAGUGUCAGACUUUAUUUUUUUAAGCUCCAAAAUCACUGCAGAUGGUGAUUGCAGCCAUGAAAUUAAAAGACACUUACUCCUUGGAAGAAAAGUUAUGACCAACCUAGAUAGUAUAUGCAAAAGCAGAGACAUUGCUUUGCCGACUAAGGUCCGUCUAGUCAAGGCUAUGGUUUUUCCUGUGGUCCUGUAUGGAUGUGAGAGUUGGACUGUGAAGAAGGCUGAGUGCCGAAGAAGUGAUGCUUUUGAAGUGUGGUGUUGGAGAAAACUCUUGAGAGUCCCUUGGACUGCAAGGAGAUCCAACCAGUCCAUUCUGAAGGAGAUCAACCCUGGGAUUUCUUUGGAAGGAAUGAUGCUAAAGCUGAAGCUCCAGUACUUUGGCCACCUCAUGCGAAGAGUUGACUCAUUGGAAAAGACUCUGAUGCUGGGAGGGAUUGGGAGCAGGAGGAGAAGGGGACGACAGAGGAUGAGAUGGCUGGAUGGCAUCACUGACUGGAUGUACGUGAGUCUGGGUGAACUCCGGGAGAUGGUGAUGGACAGGGAGGCCUGGCCUGCUGCUAUUCAUGGGGUCACAAAGAGUCGGACACAACUGAGCCACUGA
rnacentral:lncRNA from 1 species